GACGAACGCUGGCGGCGUGCUUAACACAUGCAAGUCGAACGGAAAGGCCCUGCUUUUGUGGGGUGCUCGAGUGGCGAAAGGGUGAGUAACACGUGAGUAACCUGCCCUUGACUUUGGGAUAACUUCAGGAAACUGGGGCUAAUACCGGAUAGGAGCUCCUGCUGCAUGGUGGGGGUUGGAAAGUUUCGGCGGGUGGGGAUGGACUCGCGGCUUAUCAGCUUGUUGGUGGGGUAGUGGCUUACCAAGGCUUUGACGGGUAGCCGGCCUGAGAGGGUGACCGGGCAAAUUGGGAGUGAGAUACGGCCCAAACUCCUACGGGGGGAAGCAGUGGGGAAUAAUGCACAAUGGGCGGAACCCUGGUGCAGCCACGCCGCGUGCGGGAUGACGGCCUUCGGGUUGUAAACCGCUUUCGCCUGUGACGAAGCGUGAGUGACGGUAAUGGGUAAAGAAGCACCGGCUAACUACGUG
rnacentral:rRNA from 1 species